AUGCUAAACCCUACUGAUAAUUCUCUAUUGACCUCAUCCAUUUUCUUUUUGGGAAUGCCAGAUCCUACUGAUAGUUUACUAUCGGUCUCACCCAUUUUCUUUUCGGGAAUGCCAGAUCCUACUGAUAGUUUGCUAUCAAUCUCACCCAUUUUCUUUUCGAAUUGUGUCGCUGCCGCUGUAAGAUGCAAAAUCAGAGAAGGAGCUUCGAAUAUGAGCUCGCGACGGCGGGGAGUGGCGGCAUCAUCAGAAAUCUGGAGAACAGAGAUGAAGGAGCUCCGCCGUUUGAGAGGAGGGGACGAGUUGUUGGUGAUGAUGGCAGAUAGGCGAAGAGAGCGGAAGAGAGCCGCCGCCGUGCGAGAAUGGAGAGAGUUUGGUUUGAAAUGA